GUGUGUGUGUGUGUGUGUGUGUGCCCAUGCACUCACCCUGCCACAUGCACUGUCCUGUCCCUGGUUAAAGAGUUAGCUGGGUGAGUGCCCUUGGGCUACUCUUACUAUUGUUCCUAGGCGGCCUGCCCGGCUCUGUCCUCUAUCUCAUCAUUCUUGAUCAACACAUCUCCUUUCCUAGUUUCCAGUUUUGUGGCUACUGAGUGUUCCAGUGCCAAAUAUGAAGAAGAGAACAUCUUUUUGGUGCAGUUCCUGUGAUUUCAUUCUAAAGACAUAUGUCAUCUGGGACAGGCUACACUUCAAAUGCUAGGUGGGCUCUUGUGGCAAUUCUCCAGUGUGACCUUUGUAGAUGACAACAUCCUGCUGCACCAUCAAAGAUUGGACAU